rnacentral:lncRNA from 1 species
AUCGGGCUACAACCAACAUAAAUGAACAAUAAUUAUUAAAAUUACUGGUGUGAUUUAAUAGAAACAUUAAGAAGAAUAUUGUUAAGCCAAGAGCGAUGAAGAAAUAAAAUUAAGAACAGGUGAAUGAAGCGACCCGGACUUGGAUAAUGUAAGUUUGAUAACGCGAGAUCAAAACUGAAUGUCGACUGCGAAGGCGCGAGGAAGAUAAAAAAGUGAAAGGUAUAUCCCCCACGUACUGAGCACGAGGAUAUGUAUGUCGGGGGUGUGUAGAGCUCAACUGCGCCAAUGCGCAACGCCAACUAUAUACGUAAUCACUUUGUCUGGGGUCUGGGGUCGUCUUACUUUUACCCUGCCCUGGUAUCUGCUCUCUGGUAUUAUAUUAUAUGGCUUGUAUUUGUGGACGGAUGCCUCUUUUUUUUUACUUUACAAACGUGACCUCAACUUAUUGGGAAGGAUUGUCAUAUAUUUUUUAGGGUACAAGAUCCAAGGAUACAACCCCGCUCAGACCAUCCGAUCCUUACCACUGCCAGAUUGAUACACGUGCUGAAAUUUACCCAAAUUAUUCUCUGGAAGAAAUUUAUAUGACAUUAAAAUGUAUCGUAGUUCUCAACCAAGUUUGACGUCAUUGUUUCAAGGAGUUGGAUUUCUUGUCACGAUCACUGUAAAGUGUGACCCAACACUUAAAUAUAAUUACAUUUUAAAUUCGCAGUAGAUAAGUUGAUGGUGCUAUUACCUAAAUUGGAGUCCUAAAAUAAAUUUAAUAAUUAAUAAUCUUAAGUUUAUUAUUUUAUUUAAAUUUGCUCCAGAUUUUUUUUUUUAUAUCUUCGAUAGUUGCUGAAAUUUUAUCAGUAAAUAUAGUUCAAGUAUUGCUGGUAGAAAAUAAUUAAUCACGUCCGUGCCAGAUUUUGUUUUAUCGCGAUUAGAUUUUAGUAAUGACAGCCUUUGAAAAAUAGUCGGUUAUAAAUCAUUUUAAGAACAGCAAUUUUUCCUUAAAAAUUAUUUUUUAUAAGGUAUUAAAAAACUAUUUAAUUUAAAAAUAAUAAUAAUAAAUAUUUAU